UCGAGGGGCAGCAUCGCGAUAGCUUGCUAUUGCGGAUGGCGACCGGCGCACGGGUGAGUAACGCGUAUCCAACCUUCCCGCAACUGGGGAAUAACCUUGCGAAAGUAAGACUAAUACCCCAUGGUCUCCACGGAUGGCAUCUGAAAUGGAGUAAAGGUUUCGGCCGGUUGCGGAUGGGGAUGCGUCCGAUUAGCUUGACGGCGGGGUAACGGCCCACCGAGCCUACGACGGGUAGCCGGCCUGAGAGGGCGACCGGCCACAUUGGGACUGAGAUACGGUCCAAACUCC
rnacentral:rRNA from 1 species